UCAGCUCUCUGUGCCUACCUUUCGGCUUUCACACACUCUGCAUCUUGAUUUUCCCGGUAUUAUCUCAUCUCUCGGAAUAGAACUUUGAAACCAUUCAUGGGAAAACAUUUGAAGGAAAACUUUGAUUUUCAAAUACAGAUUCCAGAUUCCAAGUGCUAUCUCCAUCUCCCACUUUUCUCAAACAAUUGAGAUGAUGUGCUUAUAAGAGGAGUUUUGACAACUAAAUGAUCUCCAUAUUUGAAGGAUGUUCAUGAUGACCAUGAUGACCCUGAAUUUGUACUGGUUGCUAAUUAUGUGAGACUAGAUUCAAAACCUGCAUGAUCUGGUUUGAUCUGUCGUAUGGAGAUUUAAGGUAUGUUACUUUUGGAGCAUAGAUUUAAGGAACAAAGGAGGCUGACAUGGGAGGUCCAUUGGUCCAUCAUAAGGUUCUUGGAGCUGGUUAAGCAGGUUUUUGGUUUAAUGGAACAGGUUAUUAUGAACAUAUGGAGGGACAAUGAAUUUGAUGAUUAUAUAGGGGUUAUAAGGAGUAUUAUCACUAAGAAGUUUAUAAAAGAUGAUUUGGGGAUGGAAAGUAGUAGUAUAUUCUUACGCUGUGCUCUCGAAACCUUUUUUACGAAUGAAAGGAAGUGUAAGGAAAGGGAGUGAAAGAGGAGGAAAGAAAAAAAACUCAUGUUUUCAAAACCUUUUUAGGAAAGAAAAAGAAAACUCGUAUUUGUACAAACCCUAUUUCACAGUCUUCUAAUUAAUCUGAGUUCUUUGUUUGUCGGUGG